UCACCCAUUUUAAUAUAGAAUCUAUCUAUCUCUGCCUUAAACAUAUCUAUUGACUUGGCCUGCACAGUUUUCUGUGGGAAUGAAUUUCACAGAUUCGCCUCCCUCUGACUGAAAAAAUUCUUCCUCAUCGCCUUCCUUAAG